CUGGCUCUGUUCCCCUUGAAAACAGGAAAUCAAUCUUGGCUGUGAAAGGGGCUCUCCUUGCAUCCUUAUCAAGAGAGCUGGGGAUUCAGUGCUGAGAAGCCUGCACAAACAAACCUCGCUAAUUUACUACCUUAAGCCUAAACUCUGCUUAAAUUCCUCAGUAACUACACAGUUCAGCCAUAAGAACACAAGAAGGAUAGAAAUGAGAUUUUCGCCCACCCCGGCAGUUUUGGGGAACCAGCCAGUAGACCUUACUGGCCAGAAAACUGCUUUCCCCCUGAGGCUGCUGCAGCUAAGAGAUCCUGGACUUCUGACACAGAACCUGCUGAAAAGGCAGACCAACUGGUAAGAUGUGUGGGAACCAUUAGAAGACUCUUCAGGUGGAGAUGGAUAGCAUGGAAGAUACAAGUUCACUGAGGCGUAAACAUUGUGGGCAUUUUGAACGGGAAAGAAUUUCCUGCAGAUGCGAAGGAAACAUGUCUUCCAGAUGGCAUAACGGCUUGAGCUGAAUAGUGAUUUUCAAAUCUUCUCUGACUCCUGAGCCAGGUUGUGUUUAGCUCCAUGAUGAAAGAUGCCAACUCCUCCUGAAGGGCACCCACAGCAUCAAGGCUGGAGACAGCAAGCACUGACAUUGCAGCAGAAUAUUGACAUCACCGUUGGAACAAAGGGUUUUGGAAAGCUUGUCUCAGAAGUGCCUCGGUACCCCUUCUGCUUCUGGUAUAAAACAAGUUAGCCCUGAGCUAACAUCUGCUGCCAAUCCUCCUCUUUUUUGCUGAGCAAGACUGGCCCUGAGCUAACAUCCGUGCCCAUCUUCCUCUAUUUUAUAUGUGGGAUGCCUGCCACAGCAUGACUUGACAAGUGGUGCGUAGGUCUGCACCCAGGAUCCGAACCAGCGAACCCCAGACCACCAAAGCAGAAUGUGCAAACUUAACCGCUGCGCCACCAGGCCAGCCCCACUGACAGCUGUUUUGAUUGGUCAACACCUAUACUGAAUCUAUUAUUAAAUAUUUUAAUACUGACUCUGUGUGUGUGUGUGUGUGUG
rnacentral:lncRNA from 1 species